CUGCCUUUUCAAUAUUUCCUAGGAUAUUUCAAUUUUCUAGGAGAGGGGUGGGUGCUAAAUAAAAUAAAAUAAAAUAAAAAGGAUGGUCUUGUAGGAAGCUACAAGACCAUCCUUUUUAUUUUAUUUUAU
rnacentral:snoRNA from 1 species